AUCAUCUUCCAGUCGGAGUACAUAGAACAGCUGAGGUGGCGUUCAGUUUCAGCACAGUGCCAUUAUGAUGGAUGUUUACAUCUCUUCAUUGAGAGCCAAUUAUCUCGCUUUUGUGUGAGGCCCAAGGAUCACUCAUGCUGCCAGGCUGCACAGAGCACUGUUGGAUCUAGCUGAACGAAUUGUUUUCUCUGUCUCUGCUGCAAAGAGAGAACAAAGUCAUGUAGGAGAAAAACAAACAAACAACAGACAACAACAACAACAACAACUCCUGUAUGGAUCAGCUUCUCUGGAAGACGGGUACUAACAGCAAAGGAAAUGGUUGGAACUUGAAAAGCACUGGCAGAGACAACCAACUUAAGAAGACAAUGUUGAGAUUGGAAAUAGCUGUAAGCUAUUACCACAGAUGGGUGAGGUGAGGAUAGAUGGAACAAAACAUGGUGUCUAACUCUGAACCCUGUUAAAAGUAUUGGAGUCUAUUAACUAUGCAUCAACC
rnacentral:lncRNA from 1 species